AUGAUGGGAACUCCAAGAACAGUUUUAGAUUUACAGAAAAGUUGUAAAGAUAGAGUUGCCAUAUACGAUACACCCAGUUGCCUGUUAUUAACAUAUGUUGUUCAUGUGGUGCAUUUCAACUAGUGAACUAAUAUUGAUGCUUUAUUAUUAACUAAGUUUCAUAUGUUAUUAAGAUUUCCUUAGUUUUUACCUAAUGUCCCAUUUUUGUUCCAGGAUCCCAUCCAGAAUACAUUAUAUUUUGUCAUAAUGUCUCCUUAGGUUCUUCUUAGUUGUGAUAGUUUUUCAGACUUUUUAGCUUUUUGAUGACCUCAGUGGUUUUGGGAAGUACUGGCCAAGUGUUUCAUAGAACUCUUCAAUAUGGGUUUGUCUUAUAUUUUUAUCAUAAUUAGAAAUGGGGUUAUGGGUUUUUGGAAAUAAGACCACAGAGGUAAAGUGCCUUCUUCUUCUUUUUUAUUUUUUUGGUUGUGCCCAUAGCAUGUGAAAGUUCCUAGGCCAGGGAUUGAACCAGUGCCACAGCAGUGACAAUGCUGGAUCCUUAACUUCUAGGCUACCAGGGAAAUCCUAAAGUGCCAUUCUGCACAUCAUAGCAAGGGUACAUACUGUCAACAUGACAUCAUUGUUGAUGUUAUUCUUGAUCACCUGGCUGAGGUAGUGUUUGAAGUUUUCUUCAAUGACAAGUUAUUCUUUUCUCCUUUCCUUUUUUGGAAAGUUAAUUACCAUGUGAAACCCACACUUAAGGGGUAGGAAGUUAAGUUUCACAUAAAUUAUUUGGAAUUCUUCUCCAUGGGAGAUUUGUCUAUUUUCUACCAUUUAUUCAAUAAUUUGUAUCAGUAUAGACACAUGGACAUUUAUUUUAUACUUUACAUAUCCCCAUUACUGAUUUUUGAUGUUGUUUGUUUUUAGCAUGUCCUUAUUUUCUGGAAAUUGGAGGUGGGAGGGCACUUGUUUUCUUCAACAAGCUUUCCUGUUGCUUCCAGGCACAGUAUAUUUAAGCAGAUAUUGACAAGGAAGACUUUCUCAUGUUUGUGAGAUCCUCUAUGCCACAUGUUCCCUAGCUAAAACAGCUUCAAGUCGUGCUUUCAAGGGUGGAGAAGAAGCCAUUACACUUUUAAAAACUGAAGAAUACUGAGGCCCAAUCUGCAUGAGCUUUUGCAAAGCAAAGUCAUGUAGAUUUCUCAUUAUGGAAGUUGCUGAUCCUAGAGCAUUCUCAUCCAAAAGGAAGGAAAUGAGGAUAGGCAGAAGACAGGCCACCAGCUGAGAGCCUGGAAAGAAAACAAACGAGGUCAAGAAAAGCAAUCACAUACUCCAACACACCUUCAGGAGAGCACACCGCAGGAAGUUCAGAGAGGAUGACCAAUGCAGCAGAAACCAACCUACUUCCAUCUUCUGACAGCAUCUGUGGCUUUGCACCUUUUACUCCUGGGCUACCUGUCAAUUUAGGAUUUAGCUCUGGAAGCUGUCUAACUAGAAUGCAUACACACAAUUCCAGUGUUGCAAAGACCAAAGAUUUUCCAGGGCCAUACUUGCAGCAUAUGGAAGUUUCUAG